rnacentral:rRNA from 1 species
UACGAGGGGGGCGAGCGUUGUUCGGAAUUAUUGGGCGUAAAGGGUGCGUAGGCGGUUUGGUAAGUCUCUUGUGAAAUCUAUGGGCUCAACUCAUAGUCUGCAAGGGAAACUGCCGGGCUUGAGUGUGGGAGAGGUGAGUGGAAUUUCCGGUGUAGCGGUGAAAUGCGUAGAUAUCGGAAGGAACACCUGUGGCGAAAGCGGCUCACUGGACCACAACUGACGCUGAUGCACGAAAGCUAGGGGGAGCAAACAGG